rnacentral:rRNA from 1 species
CCUACGGGAGGCAGCAGUGGGGAAUCUUGCGCAAUGGGCGAAAGCCUGACGCAGCCAUGCCGCGUGAAUGAUGAAGGUCUUAGGAUUGUAAAAUUCUUUCACCGGGGACGAUAAUGACGGUACCCGGAGAAGAAGCCCCGGCUAACUUCGUGCCAGCAGCCGCGGUAAUACGAAGGGGGCUAGCGUUGCUCGGAAUUACUGGGCGUAAAGGGAGCGUAGGCGGACAUUUAAGUCAGGGGUGAAAUCCCAGAGCUCAACUCUGGAACUGCCUUUGAUACUGGGUGUCUUGAGUGUGAGAGAGGUAUGUGGAACUCCGAGUGUAGAGGUGAAAUUCGUAGAUAUUCGGAAGAACACCAGUGGCGAAGGCGACAUACUGGCUCAUUACUGACGCUGAGGCUCGAAAGCGUGGGGAGCAAACAGGAUUAGAUACCCUGGUAGUCCACGCUGUAAACGAUGAUUGC